ensembl:lincRNA
UACAACACUAUACAAUGUGUUUUUUGGUUUUUGUUUUGUUUUUCUAAUUUGCUCUAUAGUUGAAAUAGACGUUUCCAAGUAUUUGUAGGAAAGAAUUGAAAUUUCAUGUUCCAGUCUCUUCAAAUUGCAAAAUCAACUUUCAAGAGUAAAAACAGUUGACUGAGGCCCUCGAGAUGAGAAAUGGAAUGGGAAUUCAGGAGGUUCGUUUUUAGCAUGAGGUCCACAGCUAGACGGAAACCGAGUGUUUCUAAAGAGUCACACUACCAACUGGAACGUCUAAAUCACCCCUUGGAUCCUGGGCCUCCAGGCCGCUCCUUGACACCAGUAGUGAGAACACGUCUUAUCUCUAGUUCACCUCCUGGAGUGACCCUGACUUCACUCUGCUUCUUGGAUGAGCCCUCCUGUCCCUCUGGCCACUGCUGGUGUAGUCCAGACCCGCUCCAUCCACUGGGACUACUCUGGUGUCGAUACAUGUCCCUGGGCCCACAAUGCCACAUCAGAUUCCUGGUGUUCGUGCCCACAGAGGUAACCUUUCCAGGUCCCUUGCGGGCCACACAUGGUUCACUCUUAGCACCUGGGGCUCUGUUGCUGGCGGUGUUGACAACAAUUAGUAUGGCACAAAUUGGGCUGGAAAAAUCACACUCUCCCAAUGUGCCUUAGGUCCGAGUAAAAGCAUGAAGUCCUUCCUAAUUGUGAAGGUUAUAAAAAGAUUAUCUACAAAUACAACUAUAUAUUAGUGUACGUGUAUAUAUACACAUACAGUGUGUAUGACUAGAGCUUGUGAGUCUAACCUUUUAUAAGAAAUUAAUAUGACCAAUUUAAUAAUAGGCAGACUCAUUCUGCUGCAUGAACACACACAUUCCUGCAAGCGUUUGUCUUGUUUGGAUUCUAUUUUGACACAGCAAAAUGUAUUUUUUCUCUUCUCACUUUGUGGGAACUGCAGCAUUAUGGUAGUCUUCUGGGUCAGCUUGGCUAGGCUAUUACACCCAGUUAUGCAAUCACCUACUUGUGCACGAUGUUGCUAUGAGGAUAGUCUGUAGAUGUGGCUAGUACCUAAGCUCAGUUUGAAGUCAGGAGGAUUACCCUCAACGUGGAUAGGCCUCAUCCAAUCACUGACACAACACUGCAGCCCGUGUCUGCUUGGGCUCCUGCCUGCUGCCCUGCCCUGCCUGUGUUGAGCCCACAAUCAGACCAGCAGUUCCCUAAACCAGUCGACACACACACAGGCAUGCACAGACACUGACAUGCCAUAUCACAUAUCCAUUAAAAGAUAAAAUUCCUGGUUUAAUUCUCUAGGAUAAAAAUUCAUUUUGCUUUCCUGACUCACAGCCAAUAAGAAUUUCUCUUCUCCAAACCCAUCUUCUUGAUAAUCAUAUGGAUGUUGGUUGUCUAGGCUGGGAUCACUUCGUGUAGAUCCUGAGAUGAAGAAUCAUAUGAGAAUGACACAGAAAAGAAUUUUCCAAGUAAAACCCAAGACAGAAGUAGGGAAAGUGCUGGAGACAAGGAGGAAGCCGUGUGAGAGUAAGAUUUCAGAACAAACCCUGUUCCCCAUGGUGCAUAUCCUCAGUCCUGGGAGCUUCUGAGAGCUGUCCCCAUCCCAACAAGCAGGCUGAUGUCACUUCCUGGGCACCCUGGCUCUCCGCACAUUUCAGGUAAUGCCAGUGAAGUCUGAGGACAAUUCCCUGGCACAGCCCAGGUGGGAGCACCCAGGAGCAGUUGCACAUGAAAAUGGGCAUGGCCCAGAGAUGUAGCGGGAAAAGGGGUGGUGCAGCAGGUAACCAGACCACCUCUUUCCAGGGAGGAAGUGGAAAUCAGGUCUGCCUGUUCCCUCCUUGUGACUGCAUGUGCAGAGGGCCUUGCUCGUCCCCUACUUCCAAGCUUGAAACAAUGUCCCUUUAUUACCUGAAAUCCUCAAUUUGUAGAACCGAUGUUUUCAAUCCCUGAUGGUCAGAGCAAAGUGAAAUAUUCCUAAGAUGGGAUAUGGGGACUCCACUCAGAACUGAGACCUGUCCCAGGUGUGUGGCUGUUCAGUCAGCCUGGGAAGGCAUCCGGUGGAAGUGGAAAGUGGAUCCUACUUGGGAGACUCAAUGUCUGGGCUCAGCCAUGCAGUCCACAUGGUACCAUCUCAAGGCUCUGCUUCAUGAACCUCGACCCACAGCAGGUUCCUUUCUUUGGAAAGUUGAACUCACCCUUUUCUGCAAGACAGGUCAUCUUUAUACUAAAGUGCCUUGGGCAGUUAUAUUAUUCUACCAUAUGAGUUAGGAAAGCAGGGAGAAGGAUCCUACAGCAAG